rnacentral:rRNA from 1 species
GAUGAACGCUGGCGGCGUGCCUAAUACAUGCAAGUCGAGCGAACGGACGAGAAGCUUGCUUCUCUGAUGUUAGCGGCGGACGGGUGAGUAACACGUGGAUAACCUACCUAUAAGACUGGGAUAACUUCGGGAAACCGGAGCUAAUACCGGAUAAUAUUUUGAACCGCAUGGUUCAAAAGUGAAAGACGGUCUUGCUGUCACUUAUAGAUGGAUCCGCGCUGCAUUAGCUAGUUGGUAAGGUAACGGCUUACCAAGGCAACGAUGCAUAGCCGACCUGAGAGGGUGAUCGGCCACACUGGAACUGAGACACGGUCCAGACUCCUACGGGAGGCAGCAGUAGGGAAUCUUCCGCAAUGGGCGAAAGCCUGACGGAGCAACGCCGCGUGAGUGAUGAAGGUCUUCGGAUCGUAAAACUCUGUUAUUAGGGAAGAACAUAUGUGUAAGUAACUGUGCACAUCUUGACGGUACCUAAUCAGAAAGCCACGGCUAACUACGUGCCAGCAGCCGCGGUAAUACGUAGGUGGCAAGCGUUAUCCGGAAUUAUUGGGCGUAAAGCGCGCGUAGGCGGUUUUUUAAGUCUGAUGUGAAAGCCCACGGCUCAACCGUGGAGGGUCAUUGGAAACUGGAAAACUUGAGUGCAGAAGAGGAAAGUGGAAUUCCAUGUGUAGCGGUGAAAUGCGCAGAGAUAUGGAGGAACACCAGUGGCGAAGGCGACUUUCUGGUCUGUAACUGACGCUGAUGUGCGAAAGCGUGGGGAUCAAACAGGAUUAGAUACCCUGGUAGUCCACGCCGUAAACGAUGAGUGCUAAGUGUUAGGGGGUUUCCGCCCCUUAGUGCUGCAGCUAACGCAUUAAGCACUCCGCCUGGGGAGUACGACCGCAAGGUUGAAACUCAAAGGAAUUGACGGGGACCCGCACAAGCGGUGGAGCAUGUGGUUUAAUUCGAAGCAACGCGAAGAACCUUACCAAAUCUUGACAUCCUUUGACAACUCUAGAGAUAGAGCCUUCCCCUUCGGGGGACAAAGUGACAGGUGGUGCAUGGUUGUCGUCAGCUCGUGUCGUGAGAUGUUGGGUUAAGUCCCGCAACGAGCGCAACCCUUAAGCUUAGUUGCCAUCAUUAAGUUGGGCACUCUAAGUUGACUGCCGGUGACAAACCGGAGGAAGGUGGGGAUGACGUCAAAUCAUCAUGCCCCUUAUGAUUUGGGCUACACACGUGCUACAAUGGACAAUACAAAGGGCAGCGAAACCGCGAGGUCAAGCAAAUCCCAUAAAGUUGUUCUCAGUCCGGAUUGUAGUCUGCAACUCGACUACAUGAAGCUGGAAUCGCUAGUAAUCGUAGAUCAGCAUGCUACGGUGAAUACGUUCCCGGGUCU